CCUACGGGAGGCAGCAGUGAGGAAUAUUGGUCAAUGGACGAGAGUCUGAACCAGCCAAGUAGCGUGAAGGAUGACUGCCCUAUGGGUUGUAAACUUCUUUUAUAAAGGAAUAAAACGAGGCACGUGUGCCUUUUUGCAUGUACUUUAUGAAUAAGGAUCGGCUCACUCCGUGCCAGCAGCCGCGGUAAUACGGAAGAUCCGAGCGUUAUCCGGGUUUGUUGGGUUUAAAGGGAGCGUAGAUGGGUUGUUAAGUCAGUUGUGAAAGUUUGCGGCUCAACCGCAAAAUUGCAAUUGAUACUGGCAGUCUUGAGUACAGUUGAGGUAGGCGGAAUUCGUGGUGUAGCGGUGAAAUGCUUAGAUAUCACGAAGAACCCCGAUUGCGAAGGCAGCUUACUAAACUGUGACUGACAUUGAUGUUCGAAAGUGUGGGUAUCAAACAGGAUUAGAUACCCCAGUAGUC
rnacentral:rRNA from 1 species